CACCGGCGGCUCGAGUGGUGGCCACUUUUAUUGGGUCUAAAGCGUCCGUAGCCGGCUUGGCAAGUCCCCUGGGAAAUCUGGCGGCUUAACCGUCAGGCGUCCAGAGGAUACUGCCAGGCUUGGGACCGGGAGAGGUGAGAGGUACCUCAGGGGUAGGGGUGAAAUCUCGUGAUCCCUGAGGGACCACCAGUGGCGAAGGCGUCUCACUAGAACGGGUCCGACGGUCAGGGACGAAAGCUGGGGGCACGAACCGG
rnacentral:rRNA from 1 species